AAGUCAGUUUUAGAGAAAAAACAUGUACUUACUUGUGCUGUUAUUAGACCUCAUGUUCUAGAGAAAAAGCUUCAGCAAGGUCUGCAUUAUUCAAACUGAAAAAUACAGCGUGUUCCUUUAUAACUCCCCCCAUCUUUCACCCUGGAUUAUUUUUAUACUUUCUUGAUUGCAAGAUAAACAAUUAAUACGCACAGCCUCUCUAUAACUGUGUAUUUUUUCCUGGUAGUAAAAUGUCUCAAGGCACUGCUUCAGACUAUAUUUGUAAUGGGGACGGAGUGGAUGUUUAUGAACUGAAUGGUAUAGCUUGUAGACUUCAGUGGGCUUCAAUUACACGUAACCGUGCAGUGAACUGAUAGACCCAAGAGUGCAGAAGUGCACAACAUACACCUCCAUGACCUAAAGCACCAUCUGUAGUGGUGACAGCUCCCCGAGCCAGAACGGUGUGCUUCCAGAUCACUGGAUUAUUCAUCAGUCCCUUGUAACUAAUACAGUUCUCCAAAACAAUGACAGCGACAACGGUGGUUUAAAUGUGGACCUAGAAGCAAGUUUACAUUUGCCUGAAAGAGUUCCCAGAGCUUAGACUUGUUCAAUAGCUGCUUGGAGCAUCCUUGAGAGAAAGGUGACUUUCAUCUGAACUAGCUGGGCAAGGAAAAACUGGCUGAAUGGAGUGACUGAGCCACAGGCAAGUUGAAGGGGUGGUCUGAGUGGCCAAAAUCAAGUGUCAGAGAAUCAACUGAGAAUCGUUUAUGGUGCUGAAAUGCUAUUUCAGAUUUGCUAUUUCUUUCAGAGCUGCACAGAAGAAAAAGAUCAAGUGCCUUCAAAACAGACGGAACAGAACCAGAUCUACAGCUCACCUACCAACAGUCUAACCCAUGAAGGUACAGAAGCAGAUGCUUUUCAAAAUGGCAAACAUGAAUUUUACAUUAAACUUUAUAUACUUAGAGGAAUUCUUGUAUCUUGGUCUUUACAUACUGUGAUCUCCAUAGUUAUUUUUUCUUUGGGAAUGAAACGCAGGUCAACAGGAACAAUGAACAAAGAAUCCUAAACACGCCCAUGUGCCAGCAUUGCUUCUCCAGGGCUACAAAAGUGCCCAGGAACACAGAUGCUUCAUUUCCCUUGCUUGCUAUCAGUGCAGUUAUUCAAAACGCAAAAGUUGCAGCCUGCUGCUUCAGCAGAAUGGGGAGAAAAGCUCAGGCAUCACCACUCUUUACUCCUUCCCAUUCUGCAGAGUCAGCACUGACAUUUCUUUGGAAGACGCAGACAACACAAGGAUACUAAUUCAUCCCUCAGCUUUAUGUGCUUGAUUCUGUAAAUAGGAGUCCUACUACUGACCACAACGUGCACACGACGCUAUCUCAGGGAGACUGCAGAAGUUACACCAGCUGCUGCUAUAUUUGGGUGCAGAUCUGGCUCUAAGUCUUCAAAGCACUCUGCUGUGACUCUCCCUCAUAACACAGGCUUCUCAGCCCGGCACGAGGUUUCUUUUGGCCAGCUACACAACAACGUGAGCUAGCACAGUCAGGGAGCUUCGUUAAAGGAGAUGUAUCUUGGGAGAACAUACACCAUCUUUUUACGGGGGACGGCCAAAGAUGUAGCUCCCCAUCUUCAAGUAUUCUGUAAUACAAAGGGUAACAUCAUUCUGGAGACAAGCUACUGAGAUGGAAAGACACGACUGCUCAAGGCAUUUACUAACUUUGCGUGCCCAGCAGUGUGCUUUGCUUCCUGCAAGCCUGAAAGGAGAAGGAAAUUACAGGCUGACUCAGACACACAAUGCACUGGAUUCAACGAACAAGCACCUAAUGGAAAGAGAAACUUCAGUUCUGU